UACGUAUUUAAAAGUUGAGGGAAAGGAGGGAUUUGUUGAGAAAUUGGGUGAAAUUUUAGAGAGAGAAGGGUGAAACUUGGAAUUAAUCAAAGAAGAGAAAAGAGGGAAAUUAUUUUAUAAAUAGGAAAAGAAAAGGAAAAGAAAAGGAAAAGAAAAGGAAAAGAAAAGAGAAGAGGGAGAGAAGAAAACCCUAGCCGCGCCGCCGCCGCCGCCGCGAGCCACCGCCGCCGCCGCCGUCGCGAAACCCUAGCCGCCUACCCACGCCACACGCACAGCCGCGCCAGAAUUCGUCCAAGCUUCCUCGCACGCCGAAGCCGAGUCGAAGCCGUCCAUUCACGCGUCUGCAAGACGACUGGAAGCCGAAGCCACCCUCGCGCCGCUUCGAUCCGAGGCAGAUCAGCCGAAACUCGUCGCCGAGAUCCAUCUCCACGUCGAAGCCGCGUCGCCAGCCGAACGCGUCUGCAAUUCGGAGCCGCGAACGCGCCUACACCCGAGCCGCACCGAAGCCGCGAACGCGCCUGCCUCCAGCCGACGGACGAAACCGAACCCGGAACCACCACCCGCGCGUCCGAACCCGGAACCGCCCGCGCGCCCGAAACCGAAACCCGCGUCCGCGCCACACGUGCCCAGCUCUCCCCGCGUGCAGCCGCGCCGCGCCGUGCGUUCCGCGUAGCCGAGCCGCGCCCCCUCCCUGUAGCAAGCCGAGCCGCACGCGAAGUCCCUGUACCGAGCCGAGCCGCGCCUACGCCAAGCCGAGCCGGUCCUGUCUUCUUCCAGUCGAGCCGCCAAGCCUGUUUUGGCUCCUUCCACCUAAAUUUUUGGUAAUUUCCAAAUUCCCUAGCCUGCCCAGUAAUUAAAUGAGUUAAUUUGGAAAUUUAAUUAAUUUAAUUACUUUCCUCAAGAAGCAAAUUGGACCAAAUAGCUGCUGCAGCUUAGGACUUCCUCAGUAGGAACUCAUCUAGCAACAUCUCGAGGUAGAGGACGAGGUAAGGGCAAGGGCAAACUGGCGAGCGACUCGAAGUGAGACCGUGAAGGGCCAUAGGGACUACCGCUUCCGCUUAUCUUUAUUUCAGAUUUUCGCACUUGAGUUCGAGUACUUUCAUUAUUUACCAUCUUUAUGUAGAUAGGGCCCGCUUAGGGAUUUUAAACUUAACUCGUAUUUCUACAUGUUACUUUAACUAUCUUUCAUAAAUAAAUUUGCUAGAUUUCUUUGCAUUUAUUUACACCAGAUUUUAUGACUUAAACACUGAUCCUAGAUUUAGUAACCACUUCGAUUCAGCAUAAA